ensembl:lncRNA
UUGUAAGUUAAUGUCAAGGCCUUUUUAAAUGCUUACUAGAAAAUUUUUGGCUCAUAACACCAGUGGGAUGAUAAUUUAAACUACUACUACUUUAAACUGCUACUUACUAACUAACGGGUUAACUCUAUGGCUGCUUAAGCUGUACUGGGUGACCUGUUCACUAAUGCAGUACACUAGGGGACCUUUAUGUGUCAUUUUUUCCUGAUGAUCUUUAGUUUUAUAGGUGCACAUAUUAUGAUGUACAUGGCGGUUCUGGCAGCCGUCUGCCUGUUGCUGAUUUCCCCCCCGAGGACCCUGCAGUCUGAGCAGAAUGAUCUCCAUCCUCCUCUUGCUCCACCUCACGUACGGCAGCUGCAUGAAGUAGGGGAGUCCGCUCGUUUGGAUGUGAAGCAAACGUAUGCCUCCUUGGAUAAAGAAAACGCCAAAGUGGGUCUCUUCAUCGCUGCAUCCAUCGGGACCUUUGCCCUCAUGGCUGCGGUCUACUGCAUCUACACCAAAUUCUACCCCAAGCAGCAAUACCUGCACGCCCAGCUGAAUGAAGACUCGGAUUUCCUGUCGGACCCUCCUGCCAUUUUCUUCCACUCUGUCGGGUCCAGCACGGCAGAGGUCCAGAGAGGUGGUUACGGCUCCCUCUCCGACACUCCGUCCAUCAUCUCUGUGCCACCCAGCCUGUCUCCUCCUCCCGCCGCCAUGCCCUUCCCUCCACACUUCGUCUCCUCUCGCUCUAUGAGAACCAUAUCAGCAAAAGACUUGGAGAAGAGCUGCAUCUGAUACAGAAUAGGACGACAGCAAGUAGUUUUUGUCUAAAUGUGCAUGGAAUUUCUGUUUUGCGUCCCUCAAAUACAGCCAUCUGACCCAGUAACUGCUGCUAACUCGUGCCGCCAGACAUGUUAGCGUGAGCCAUCGUCCGUUAAUAGCAGCACCUUGAUUAAUCAAAAGGUGUUUGUUGCACGUGAUUUGAUUUGUUUGCUUUGGAUCAUCCCGCUAUCAUUUAUGAUUGGGAAAUACAUUUUUAAAGAUGAAAGAAGUGCUGUUCUUUUCAUAACCCCAUAUUCCAAUAACCACUGCAAAA